AUCUGUUUUCAGCAUAAAGGGAUGUUGGAAGAUAGAUGUUUAAUUAUGUAGAGCUCUAUUUGAGCAUUUCUCUACACAAAUUAAAUAUUUUAUAUGAUUUUAUUUUAUUUAGAAUUAAUUUAAGCUUUAAUUUAGACCCUAGUUUUAUUUCUGUGAGCUGAAUGAUCACAUUAAUCUCUUAAAACGUUUAAAAUUAAAUAUAUUAACUGCAAAUAUAUUAAUAAAAUGUAGUUUAUAUCUGUUAUUUAUUACAUAUAUAAUGUAUUCGUAAUAUUAAUCCUCAUUGCUGCUUUAAUAAAUGACUUUAGGCUGCAGUUUAUUGUAUUAAAGUAGAAUCUGUGUCAUCCUGUAGUUCCAACGUUUGUCCACAGGAGUGCAGUGUCAGACCAUAAACCGAGCCUCCAUCACCCUUAUUCAGGAGGGAGAACCAGGGGAGAACUGAACCAGUCAGCCUCAAGAGUUCAUCACUUAUUCACUCUUAACCUAUUUUAUACAGUCUAUGGUCUUAACUUGCAUAUCAUUUGACAGGAAAUUGUGUGGUUUUUAUUUUAAAUUAUAUUUUGUAAAUUGCAUGAACUAUUUGGGGGAUACAACGUGAUGUAAUCAUCUUUAAUAUCUGUUUUAAUCAUCAAGGUGACUUGGAAGAUACAUGUUUAAUUAUGUAGAAAUGUAUUUCAGCAUUUAUCUACUCAAAUUAAAUGUUUUAUAGUAUUUUAUUUUAUUUAGCUUUAAUGUAAGCUCAUAUUUAGACCGUAGUUUUAUUUCUGUGAGCUGAACGAGCACAUUAAUCUCAUUAAAACGUUUAAAAUUCAAUAUAUUAACUACAAAUAUAUCAAGAAUAUAUAGUGUAUAGCUGUCUUAUUUUAAUAUAUAAUGUAUUCUUAAUAUUUUUGCUCUAUUGCUGCUUUAAUUAUUGAGUUUAGACUGCUGUAUAUCAGAAUCUGUGUCAUCCUGUAGAUCCAGCGUUUGUCCACAGGAGGGCAGUGUCAGACCAUAAACCGAGCCUCCAUCACCCUUAUUCAGGAGGGAGAACUGAAACAGUCAGCCUCAAGAGUUCAUCACUUAUCCACUUUUAACUCACAUGAAUUCAUAGGACGUAUGAGCUCAUGCUGCUGGCCGGCUGCCUGGAGGAGGAGGAGGAGGAGGAGGAGGAGGAAGAAGAAGAAGAGGGGGAGUAAGCAUUCAUCAGGUGCAUUACGUCACCACGGGCCAAUCCUCUGCUCUCUGACACGCUGAGCGCUCGCAGCAGCGUCUGUUUCACGUGGGGGGAGUUUGGCUCAGAGAGACACGAGCUGAGUUUCACCUCGAGGACGGGGUCACCAGGUCGAUUCAGGUUCAGUUCAAACCUGCAAGCGCCCCGCUGUGAUGCGUGUAACACAAAACAAGGCCUAACAUGACCUGCAGGAUUCAAAUGUAUUAAAAUGACCUGAGGAGAUGAAACUGAGACAGAAAUCCAACAACCUGAGUCCAAAAAGAGGAGAUGAAUGACUUCCUACUGUACUCUAAAUAUUAACAUCAGCCUUAUUUGACAUAUGCACCUUUAAGAACAACUAAAGACCUCUCUGCAUGGUGGUUAAUUGUAGAAAACACAUUUUGCAUGCAUGUAAGAUAAACAUCUAUGUAUCUUGGUGCAUUUGCAGCUAUUUCACCUCAUAACAAGCUCUAUCAUAUCAUGAAAUAAGAUGCUUUAUAUGAACACGUCUGCUGAAUGUGACCUGUGUGAAGCAUAAUGAGAUAUUUGAGUUGAAGUUAGACAAAAACACUUCCUAAGAUGUGAUUGUUUUGCAGAGAAGGAGUGCAGAUUUCAUCCCUCUGAGUUCUGAUGGGCUUCAGGUGCUUUACUCUCAAACCUGGUGGCCAUAGCUCCUCCUCUUUUUCUCCACAAACACCUGCAAGAAAGAAAUCACAACAAGGUGGGCUGGUGGCCUAGCGGUCUAAGCACCACACGGAUAGAGGUUGUAGUCUUCGUCACAAAGGUUGCAGGUUCGAUUCCCCACCCUUCCUCUGCUCUGUCCUGUCUCUCUUCAGCUCUCCGGUCAAUAAAGGUGAGAAAUCACAACCAGAGGUCUAUAACAUUUUAAAAUCACAAAGCUGCUCUGAUAUCUACAUCCUGUCCUCCUCUCACAGCUCUGAUGCUCAGAUUUGUUUUACUUUCUGGUCAAAAGUUCACUGAAAGAUUGCAAAAUUCACAAAAACAAACAUGAUGCAAUAACUGGGAGGCUUUCUAUUUGCAGAUAACGUGAUUAACUUUGCUUAUAUAAGUCUGCUUUUGUUCUGGACUGAGCCAAACAGGCCAAAGAUAAAAGAGGCAGAAGUUAGAAGAAGGAGAAGAAGCCAGACUUUUGAGAGAACAGGUCUGUUGUUUUAAGGAAGCAAAAAGCUUCCAAGGUCACAAGAGCUGCAGAGUUUACAGGAUUUACAGAAACCUGGGGGCUUCAGAUCUUACUCUGGAGGAAAAGCCAAUAAAUGAAUGAACUUUCUGCUGCCUUAAUUAGACAAAUCAAGUGUUAAAGGUCAUCAGAACCUGCAGAAACUUGUGCUUCUUUAAUGUAAGAUCUGUAAAAAAGCAGCAGAGCAGACGUACCUCUGCUCCACACUGUCCCAGACUUUAAACUAAAACAAUGAAACCAGAGCAGAGCCUUCUGGAGGUGCUGCAGGACUAAAUCAAUGAAGCAUCUGUGAUGGGCGGAGCCAAAUCCAAUCACCCAAUGACUUACACGCCCUGCCCCCACCCUCCCCUCUCACACUCGUGCCAGCUCUGUACAUAAGACGAUCACUGAGCUUUAAUAGCAUGAAGAGAGAGUUAGAUCAGAUAGCGAGCUGGCAGCGCUAUCAAGCCGCGUGUUUGGAGCAGCGAUGACAGCGCUGGCACAAACAGGGAGUGCUGGAAGCUGGACUCAGACCAGCCGGGGUUCAGUGUGUGUGUGUGUGUUAUAUGAGUGUGUGUGCAUGUGUGUGUGGCGCCUGUCUGGCUUUUGGCUGGAGGUUGAAGCCUGUUGGAAUCAGGGAAAUUUAAGUGCAGAGGCCAAAUGUGGUCCACUUUUAGAGGAACAAGCAGCUGCAAUAUGCAUAUUUUAUGAUAUCAAUGUAACAAUAAACACACUGCACUUUAGAUUUUCAA